UACAGAGGGGGCAAGCGUUAUUCGGAAUUAUUGGGCGUAAAGGGCGCGUAGGCGGCUUUUCAAGUGACGGGUGAAAUCCCUCGGCUUAACCGAGGAACUGCCUGUCAGACUGGAAGGCUUGAGACCGGGAGAGGUGAGUGGAAUUCCCAGUGUAGCGGUGAAAUGCGCAGAUAUCGGGAAGAACACCCGUGGCGAAGGCGGCUCUCUGGGACGGUACUGACGCUGAGACGCGAAAGCGUGGGGAGCGAACAGG
rnacentral:rRNA from 1 species